rnacentral:rRNA from 1 species
GUGGUUUGUCGCGUUGUUCGUGAAAUCUCACGGCUUAACUGUGAGCGUGCGGGCGAUACGGGCAGACUAGAGUACUGCAGGGGAGACUGGAAUUCCUGGUGUAGCGGUGGAAUGCGCAGAUAUCAGGAGGAACACCGGUGGCGAAGGCGGGUCUCUGGGCAGUAACUGACGCUGAGGAGCGAAAGCGUGGGGAGCGAACAGGAUUAGAUACCCUGGUAGUCCACGCCGUAAACGGUGGGUACUAGGUGUGGGUUUCCUUCCUUGGGAUCCGUGCCGUAGCUAACGCAUUGAGUACCCCGCCUGGGGAGUACGGCCGCAAGGCUAAAACUCAAAGGAAUUGAUGGGGGCCCGCACAAGCGGCGGAGCAUGUGGAUUAAUUCGAUGCAACGCGAAGAACCUUACCUGGGUUUGACAUGCACAGGACGCGUCUAGAGAUAGGCGUUCCCUUGUGGCCUGCGUGCAGGUGGUGCAUGGCUGUCGUCAGCUCGUGUCGUGAGAUGCUGGGUUAAGUCCCGCAACGAGCGCAACCCUUGUCUCAUGUUGCCAGCGGGUAAUGCCGGGGACUCGUGAGAGACUGCCGGGGUCAACUCGGAGGAAGGUGGGGAUGACGUCAAGUCAUCAUGCCCCUUAUGUCCAGGGCUUCACACAUGCUACAAUGGCCGGUACAAAGGGCUGCGAUGCCGUAAGGCUAAGCGAAUCCUUUUAAAGCCGGUCUCAGUUCGGAUUGGGGUCUGCAACUCGACCCCAUGAAGUCGGAGUCGCUAGUAAUCGCA